rnacentral:rRNA from 1 species
GACGAACGCUGGCGGCGUGCUUAACACAUGCAAGUCGAACGGAAAGGCCCUGCUUUUGUGGGUUGCUCGAUUGCCGAACGGGUGAGUAACACGCGAGUAUCCUCCCCUUGACUUUGGGAUAACUCUAGGAAACUGGGGCUAUUACCGGAUAGGAGCUCCUGCUGCAUGGUGGGGGUUGGAAAGUUUCGGCGGUUGGGGAUGGACUCGCGGCUUAUCAGCUUGUUUGGGGAGUAGUGGCUUACCAAGGCUUUGACGGGUAGCCGGCCUGAGAGGGUGACCGGCCACAUUGGGACUGAGAUACGGCCCAGACUCCUACGGGAGGCAGCAGUGGGGAAUAUUGCACAAUGGGCGGAAGCCUGAUGCAGCAACGCCGCGUGCGGGAUGACGGCCUUCGGGUUGUAAACCGCUUUCGCCUGUGACGAAGCGUGAGUGACGGUAAUGGGUAAAGAAGCACCGGCUAACUACGUG